rnacentral:rRNA from 1 species
CCUACGGGAGGCAGCAGUGGGGAAUAUUGGGCAAUGGAGGAAACUCUGAACCAGCAACGCCGCGUGAAUGAUGAAGGUCUUCGGAUUGUAAAGUUCUUUUCUAAGGGAAGAAGAAAGCGACGGUACCUUAGGAAUAAGCCUCGGCUAACUACGUGCCAGCAGCCGCGGUAAUACGGAGGAGGCGAGCGUUAUCCGGAAUGACUGGGCGUAAAGGGUGCGUAGGUGGUUUGGCAAGUUAGUAGCGUAACUCCAAGGCUCAACCUUGGAACUACUACUAAAACUGUUGGACUUGAGUGCAGGAGGGGCAACCGGAAUUCCUAGUGUAGCGGUGGAAUGCGUAGAUAUUAGGAGGAACACCAGUGGCGAAGGCGGGUUGCUAGCCUGUAACUGACACUGAGGCACGAAAGCGUGGGGAGCAAACAGGAUUAGAUACCCCAGUAGUC